CCCUUAGAUGUUCUGGGCUGCACGCGCGCUACAAUGGCGUUUUCAAAAAGAUUGCUAAUCCGAAAGGACCAGCGGAUCUUCGAAGUGGCGUCGUGAUCGGGACAGUUGAUUGCAAUUAUUCGACUCGAACGAGGAAUUCCUUGUAAUCGUGCGUCAUCAGCGCACGCUGAAUACGUCCCUGUUCUUUGUACACACCGCCCGUCGCUCCUACCGAUCGAGCGAUCCAAUGAAUGUUUCGGAGCGGAACUGAGAUGCUAAUGCGUCCCUUUUACGCGAAUUUGUGUGAAUUUGAUCGCUUAGAGGAAGGAGAAGUCGUAACA
rnacentral:rRNA from 1 species